UGUGCGCAGCGGAGUUACCUUUAUAUCAAUUUCGAGGCGUUCGACAAAAAUUAAAAACUAAUUUAUAGUAAAAGACGCGCUGCAGUCAACCUAUAUAUAUAUAUAUAUACAUAUAUAUAUAUAUGUUAGCUGCAAAAAACAAGAACAAACAACAAGAGGCGGCUACAAAGUGAUUACGAAUUUUUAAAAGACUCUCAAAGAGAGCGAAAGAGAGCGCGAGCGUGUGUGCGAGAGGAGUGUGCAGGGCAGAGAGAUAGAGCGAGAGAGCUACUGAGCUACAGCAAAAGAGCGAACCUGUGUGCAGCGUGCAGUGUGCAUCAUCAUCCUGCCCAGCCAGACCCCCAACACGUUUCAUCGAAAUGAGCAAGAAACCGACUGCCGGCCCGGCGCUCCACAAGGUCAUCAUGGUGGGCAGCGGAGGCGUUGGCAAAUCGGCCCUCACCUUGCAGUUCAUGUACGAUGAGUUCGUCGAGGACUAUGAGCCCACCAAGGCCGAUAGCUAUAGGAAAAAGGUUGUGCUCGAUGGCGAGGAAGUACAAAUAGAUAUACUAGACACAGCCGGCCAGGAGGAUUACGCAGCCAUCAGAGAUAAUUAUUUUCGCAGCGGCGAGGGUUUUCUCUGUGUCUUCUCAAUCACAGACGAUGAAAGCUUCCAGGCCACCCAGGAAUUCAGAGAACAAAUAUUGCGGGUGAAAAACGAUGAGAGCAUACCGUUCCUGCUGGUGGGCAACAAAUGCGAUCUGAAUGACAAACGCAAGGUGCCUCUCAACGAGUGCCAGGUGAGGGCGCAGCAGUGGUCCGUGCCCUAUGUGGAGACCUCAGCCAAGACGCGCGAGAAUGUGGACAAGGUAUUUUUUGAUUUGAUGCGCGAAAUAAGAUCACGAAAAACCGAAGAUUCGAAAGCCACGAGCGGGCGUGCUAAAGAUAGAUGCAAGAAGCGGAGACUUAAGUGUACCCUACUUUAGGCAUUAGGUGCAUACAAAAAUUAUUUGAAAAAAAAAAAACAAAAAAAAAACGUAAACAAACAGCAACAACAACAACAACAACAAUUAUAUAAAAGCACACACUAGUUAUGCUUAAAGUAUUUUUCGAUCUAAUCAGGGAUAUUUCAUCACGCAAAAAACAACGUCAGAUGGACGUAAAAGAGCCGGCGAAGCCUUCUCCUUGCUGCCAAUUGUUGUGAACACUCAACUGCGACUAGACCAACAGCAACACGACAACAACAACAACAACCAAAACAACAACAACAAAGGCCACACUGAUAUACAGCAAAAGCAACAGCAACAGCAACGGUAACGGAAACAAGCAACAACAACAAAUCAGAAAAGAAAUAACAACAAGAAAAAUAAUAAUUGUGUUAUUGUGUUAAUAAUAUUUAAUAACAAGCUAACAACAAAAAUCGUAUCAAAAUUUUUUGCAACAUGUCAACGAUGAUUAAAAACUAAAUAAAUUAUGAAUUAUAUGUAAUAUACAUAAUUAAAUAAAACUCUAAAUAUAUAAACUAAAGUAAAACGAAAUCCAUUGUUUAGGCAACAACAACAUCAAUAAAAUUAAUUUAAAAAUAGAAAAGAUGUUUCAAAGCACAGCCGCCGCCAGCUUUUAAAUUAAUAAUUUUAACAAUUUACUUUGCUUAACUAUCAAAUGAAAUACACACACACACACACAUAUAUAUAUAUAUAUAUAUAAAUACACACAUAUGUUAUCAAUUUAGCGAGCUAAAACAACAACAAAUAAUGCAAAUUUAUAAACAUUUGCACUUUAUUAUAUUCAAUUUGAUUUAAUAUCGUUUUUAUUUGUUGUGUAUAAAGUAAUAGCAAAAUGUCAAACAAUUAAUUAAAAACAAAUACACCCACACUUACAGAAAAGCUUUUUAUAAAUAUAUAUACACACAAUUCAUAUAUAUAUACAUAAAUAUAGUUAAAAAUAUACAAUUGUAAAAUGCAGCUGCAGGUUGAAAAGAAAAAAAAAACAAAAAUAAAACAAAACAAAAACUCAACAACUCCAUCUCUAAUCAUGAUAUUAAUACAACUAAUUAAUGAGAGUACUCUAAUUAAAGCAAACUUUUAUGCGAUUUUUGUAAUUUUCUAACCAGCCACAAAUGCAAAAAAAAAAAAACAAAACAAAA